CCCGACUGCUAUCGGAUUGGGAUUUAACCAUGUUAGUCGUGCGUUCCUCGGCUACAGGCGCGCAUCGUACGGCUCACUGACACGUAUUCUACCUGCCCUGUAGACAAGGACACGCCCGGGAAACUGGGGCUGAUCCUCGAUAGAUGACCUCAUCUGGAAGGAGUGGUCUUCCAAAGGGGGACACGGGUAUGCUCUGUGUCAUCCGCUCCAAGAUGGGACUGGGGUCGAUCAGGCUGUUGGCGGGGCUAUGGCCCACCAAACCUGUAACCGGUACGGGCUUUGAAAAAAGGAGCCCGGAGAUGGACACUGAAACAAGGGUCCAAGCCCUACGGGGCGCAUCAGGGGCGAAAACUUCGCAAUGCGCGAAAGCGUGACGAGGGUAAUCCGAGUGCUAUCUGCUAGAGAUGGCUUUUCUCGGCUGUAAAUAGGGCGGGGAAUAAGGGGAAGGCAAGUCUGGUGU
rnacentral:rRNA from 1 species